rnacentral:rRNA from 1 species
CAGUCGCCGCGGGAAUACGUAGGGUGCAAGCGUUAAUCGGAAUUACUGGGCGUAAAGCGUGCGCAGGCGGUUCGCUAAGACAGAUGUGAAAUCCCCGGGCUUAACCUGGGAACUGCAUUUGCGACUGGCGGGCUAGAGUAUGGCAGAGGGGGGUAGAAUUCCACGUGUAGCAGUGAAAUGCGUAGAGAUGUGGAGGAAUACCGAUGGCGAAGGCAGCCCCCUGGGCCAAUACUGACGCUCAUGCACGAAAGCGUGGGGAGCAAACAGGAUUAGAUACCCCCGUAGUCCCUGUCUCUUAUAC